AUGGGUGGUUCCAGCUGCUUCCUCUGCCUGGGGGCAAGGAAGGAAGUCCCACCGCCUCCCCGGGCCGAUCCCCACAGCAGCAGCAGCGUCGCCGCCACCGCGGCACGGACCUUGGCCUUCGACGAGCUCGCGGCGGCGACCAGGAACUUCAGAGACGACUUCCGCAUCGUUCGGACUUCUUUCGCAUAUCGGUCUCCGGGCCAAGCACUGCUAGACUGGAACACAAGGAUGAACAUAGCUGCCGGCGUGGCCAAGGGUUUAGAGUAUCUCCACGACAAAGGUGUGGUGUACCACAUAUUCAUGAGCAGCUCGGACGUCUUGCUCGGAGAAGGCAACCACCCAAAGUUGUCCCAAUAUGGACUGGCAGACCUUGGUCGGCUAGUUGCGGAUGAUGAUGAGAAAUUGUGUAUUGAUUUCACCAGAACCGCUGCAAUUGCCCCCGAGACAAGAUUUAAAGGGAAGGCGACCAUGGAGUCGAACGUGUACAACUUUGGCGGCGUGCUGCUGGAGUUAAUCACAGGGAGGAGGCCCGUCGACCCCACCCGGGCCAUCGCCGAGGAUUGCAACCUUGUCAUAUGGGCCACACAAUUGAUGGACAGGGGCCAGUUCCGCCGGAUGGCAGAUCCAGCACUGCAGGCCCGGUAUCCGUCCAUGGAUUUGCAAGAGGCACUGGAAGUUGCUUCCAUGUGCAUCCACGAAGAGCCGGCCAUGAAAUCCCCCAUCGGUGCCGUCGUCGCAGCUCUGUCUCGCCUUGCCGCCUACGACAAUCAUCCACCUGAAUCUUCACACCAUGCGGCGCUUCGUUAA
rnacentral:rRNA from 1 species